GAUGAAGAACGUAGCGAAAUGCGAUACUUGGUGUGAAUUGCAGAAUCCCGUGAACCAUCGAGUCUUUGAACGCAAGUUGUGCCCGAAGCCAUCAGGUUGAGGGCACGUCUGCCUGGGCGUCACAUAUCGUUGCUCGAUGCCUAUCGCAUUGCGAUAGGACUUAGGGCGAAUGAUGGCUUCCCGUGAGCGUUGUUGCCUCGCGGUUGGUUGAAAAUCGAGUCCUUGGUAGGGUGUGCCAUGAUAGAUGGUGGUCGAGUUAGCACGAGACCCAAUCAUGUGAGACCCCUACCGAAUUUGGCCUUCAUGACCCACAUGCGUCUUUGGAACGCUCAUGACGAGACCUCAGGUCAGGCGGGGCUACCCGCUGAGUUUAAGCAUAUCAAUAAGCGGAGGA
rnacentral:misc_RNA from 1 species